GAAAACACUACUUGCAGUUACCGAUUCACAUCCUGUUGUUCGUUUACUUGUGACGUCAUCGUGGACCAGCCCAUAGAGGUAAUCACGUUCAAAUGUAUGCGUGCCUUUUUUGUAGAUGUAGUUGUGAAACUGCGAGGAAAAUAUUUGCACUCUUGCCCCGGACGUUAGUUUUAUCGUUAUUUACCCGUUUUACCCAAAUCGAUUGGGUAAUAUUUGCAUAUGCAAUCUGAGUAGCCUUUCAAUCGGCGUGCACUUUUGUGUGAGGAAAAAUUUGCGCUAGUGUUCGUGUGUUGAAAUGUCACUUAUCUCUAUAACGUUAUACAAGGUGACAACACGAAAUUGCAGGUGAUGUUCUAUUUUGUCGGAUUCAUUUGUUUUAUCACAUGGUUUAUGUGAGGAAAAAUGUGCUGCAAUCUAAACUAAAGUUAUGUUUUGUGAAAUGUUUUUAGGUAUCAAAAUAAAGUUCUAAAAAUCUGAAAAAAAUCAUAGUGGCUCAGAAAAAGCUGCACUUUUGUUUAAAAAUAUAAAAUUAUUGAUUUUUUCUAAAUUUAAAAACCCAAUUUAACGGUCGACCAGCAAAGCGAGCGAACCCUUCUGUCAAAUCAGCGCAGACGCGUCCCAAGCAACACGACUUGUUUCAAAGCCAGUACCAGCAACAUCAGUGCAAUUUAUUCACUGUUCUAAUUAAGGACAACACAACACAAUUGAUUCUCUUUGAAACGCAAAAAGCGCAAAUUUUAAAUCGUUAUGCAACAUGAGCCAGGGAGAAUGAUAAAAAAAUUAAAAAAAUAUAUUCAGACUCAAACCAUGGACACCAGGAGUAUUAACCACUCACCUUACAUACUACACCAGAAGCUCUGUGAAAGAUUUGCUGCUCAAUGCACCAUAAAAGCUACUGAAGUUACGCGUUACUUCAUUGUACCGUCUUUGCCACAAGUUAGAAAGCUGUCAAAAUGAAAAGACACGCAAGUUCUCCGCAACACAUUUGGAACCUAAUCUGAACAAACAAACUAGAGUAAGAUGUUUCAUGUGUGUUACAUAGCACAUUUGCCACUUGUGAGGAAUAUGUAAGCUCCGCCUCCAUAAAUCGAUGUUAAAUACGAUGUUAUUUGUAAUUCCUAUGAAACCAAGCUGCAACUUAACGAUAUUCGGAAUUUAAAUGCAACUCAACUGACAAGAUGGAAGUUGCGUGCGCUUUUAUUGCAACUCUUCUAGACCAAAGCAUAGAAAACCAUAUUUUGGAUGAUGUUGCAGGUGCUGCUUGGGGUACCUCUUCCUAUAGGUGAAUUCAGAUGACCCCCAAUUGUAGAGGCGCUAAGUGAGAUAAGGUGAAAAUCGUUUGUUUACAUCAAAAAUUCAAUUUUUCGUUUUCAAAAUUAACUCAUAUUUUGCCUUGGUGGUUGCUAUUUUCCAUUGGUAAUGGCAUCUAUUAUCAUCAAUCUCGAUGCCCACGGCGACAGACACCGGAUUGACCAGCUAACAAAAAAUCCGGAAGAUUGCCCGCCGGAGGCAUAGCAAGAGCUCCUCAAAUUAAUCACAUAAGUUGUUCUGCUCGUUUGUUUCUCUACGAUGCGGAAUUCGAUAUGAAAAGGUGAAAAAAGUGCAGUUUGCCUAUGCUGCGCAAUGGCAAAUUUUGGCGGAGCCCCUCUUUUCAUAGGUUUCUAAUUCCUGCCACCAGAUGCGGAGGGAUCGUUAGCUUCCGUUGGAUUUA